GUGCCAGCAGCCGCGGUAAGACAGAGGCCUCGAGCGUUAGGCGGAAUCACUGGGCUUAAAGCGUGUGUAGGCGGAGGCGUAAGUACCUUGUGAAAUCCCACGGCUCAACCGUGGAACGGCUUGGUAUACUGCGUCUCUUGAGUCACUCAAGGGCGAGCGGAACAGAUGGUGGAGCGGUGAAAUGCGUAGAUAUCAUCUGGAACGCCAAUGGUGAAGACAGCUCGCUGGGGGUGUACUGACGCUGAGACACGAAAGCCAGGGGAGCGAACGGGAUUAGAUACCCUAGUAGUCC
rnacentral:rRNA from 1 species